UUCCUUUGUAAUUAACUCAUGAUUAAAGGUCACACAUCACAAACAAUAAAUCAUGUGAUCCCUUCAUACACGUAUAAAUCAUAUUAAAACUCAUAGCAAGAAUGUACAUAUCACUAGUGAAAUCCUUCUAAAGUUACAGAGAAAAGAGAGGAAUGAGGGCUGGAAGCCCUGGAUGGGUGAUAAAAACCCUAGACACGAAAGAGAAAUAUUUGUAGGAAUCAACGGAGCAUUGUGAUGCCUCGAUAGAGCGCUAUGGCACUUGGGACUUUUGUUGAAGAGCAACGUUAUGUGAUCGCAGCG
rnacentral:lncRNA from 1 species